ensembl:miRNA
GUGGGGUGUGUGCUGGAGCCUGCUUGCUUGUGUCCUGGGCUGAGGCCUGGUCCUGUACCCACCCUGC